rnacentral:lncRNA from 1 species
AAAGAACUCAGGCAGCCAUGGGGUAUUUUUCAGAAUUCCCGGCGGUGAAGGGUCAGAGCCAUGGGCAUUAGGGAGAAAGCUGAAGGCACAGCGGGUAGUGCCAAAGUCUCCCGUGAUGUAUCCUGUGUCCACAUCCCAACAACCCCAUCGGCAGGACUCUUUCCUGGUUUGCCCACAAGGAGGAAAGUGAGGAAAGUGAGGCGUCAGAGAGAUGAAGCAACUUGUUUGAAGGCGGCCACACAGCUGGUAAGUGUGGGGACAGGAUUUGAACGAGGGUAUUUUGCAUGGGAAGUCUGGCCUUCUGGCUACCACCCCACCUCUUCAUCCCAAGACACUCUCCCAAGUCUGGCCCCACAUGGCUCC